AAUAGAUACCCCGGUAGUCCACGCUGUAAACGGUGGGUACUAGGUGUGGGGUCCAUUCCACGGGUUCCGCGCCGUAGCUAACGCUUUAAGUACCCCGCCUGGGGAGUACGGCCGCAAGGCUAAAACUCAAAGGAAUUGACGGGGCCCCGCACAAGCGGCGGAGCAUGCGGAUUAAUUCGAUGCAACGCGUAGAACCUUACCUGGGUUUGACAUGGAUCGGGAGUGCUCAGAGAUGGGUGUGCCUCUUUUGGGGUCGGUUCACAGGUGGUGCAUGGCUGUCGUCAGCUCGUGUCGUGAGAUGUUGGGUUAAGUCCCGCAACGAGCGCAACCCUUGUUCACUGUUGCCAGCACGUUAUGGUGGGGACUCAGUGGAGACCGCCGGGGUCAACUCGGAGGAAGGUGGGGAUGACGUCAAGUCAUCAUGCCCCUUAUGUCCAGGGCUUCACGCAUGCUACAAUGGCUGGUACAGAGAGUGGCGAGCCUGUGAGGGUGAGCGAAUCUCGGAAAGCCGGUCUCAGUUCGGAUUGGGGUCUGCAACUCG
rnacentral:rRNA from 1 species